CCUACGGGAGGCAGCAGUGGGGAAUAUUGCACAAUGGGGGAAACCCUGAUGCAGCAACGCCGCGUGAGUGAAGACGUAUUUCGGUAUGUAAAGCUCUAUCAGCAGGGACGAAGAUGACGGUACCUGAUUAAGAAGCCCCGGCUCACUAUGUGCCAGCAGCCGCGGUAAUACGUAGGGGGCAAGCUUUAUCCGGAUUUACUGGGUGUAAAGGGAGCGCAGUCGGCAGUUCAAGGCUGGAGUGAAAGCCCGGGGACCAACCCCGGCACUGCUCUGGAAACUGUGCGGCUAGAGUACUGGCGGGGUAAGCGGAAUGCCUAGUGUAGCGGUGAAAUGCGUAGAUAGUAGGAGGAACACCGGUGGCGAAGGCGGCUUACGGGACUGUAACUGACGUUGAGGCUCGAAAGCGUGGGGAGCAAACAGGAUUAGAUACCCCAGUAGUC
rnacentral:rRNA from 1 species